AACGAACGCUGGCGGCAUGCCUAACACAUGCAAGUCGAACGAAGUCUUCGGACUUAGUGGCGCACGGGUGCGUAACGCGUGGGAAUCUGCCCUUGGGUGCGGAAUAACUUCUCGAAAGGGAUGCUAAUGCCGCAUAAUGUCGUAAGACCAAAGAUUUAUCGCCCAAGGAUGAGCCCGCGUAAGAUUAGCUAGUUGGUGGGUAAAAGCCUACCAAGGCGACGAUCUUUAGCUGGUCUGAGAGGAUGAUCAGCCACACUGGGACUGAGACACGGCCCAGACUCCUACGGGAGGCAGCAGUGGGGAAUAUUGGACAAUGGGCGAAAGCCUGAUCCAGCAAUGCCGCGUGAGUGAUGAAGGCCCUAGGGUUGUAAAGCUCUUUUACCAGGGAUGAUAAUGACAGUACCUGGAGAAUAAGCUCCGGCUAACUCCGUGCCAGCAGCCGCGGUAAU
rnacentral:rRNA from 1 species